UGGGGAAUAUUGCACAAUGGGCGAAAGCCUGAUGCAGCAACGCCGCGUGAGUGAUGAAGGCCUUCGGGUUGUAAAGCUCUGUCUUUUGGGACGAUAAUGACGGUACCAAAGGAGGAAGCCACGGCUAACUACGUGCCAGCAGCCGCGGUAAUACGUAGGUGGCAAGCGUUGUCCGGAUUUACUGGGCGUAAAGGAUGCGUAGGCGGAUUUUUAAGUGAGAUGUGAAAUACCCGGGCUUAACUUGGGUGCUGCAUUUCAAACUGGGAAUCUAGAGUGCGGGAGAGGAGAAUGGAAUUCCUAGUGUAGCGGUGAAAUGCGUAGAGAUUAGGAAGAACACCAGUGGCGAAGGCGAUUCUCUGGACCGUAACUGACGCUGAGGCAUGAAAGCGUGGGUAGCAAACAGGAUUAGAUACCCUGGUAGUCCACGCCGUAAACGAUGAGUACUAGGUGUAGGAGGUAUCGACCCCUUCUGUGCCGCAGUUAACACAAUAAGUACUCCGCCUGGGAAGUACGAUCGCAAGGUUAAAACUCAAAUGAA
rnacentral:rRNA from 1 species